rnacentral:lncRNA from 1 species
ACAGCGGCAAGGUCCUAUGGCUUGGAAGUUGAUGGUCAUGAAAAUCGUCUCACCCGAUCUCGAACUUAGUGGUCCAAUCUCGGCCUCCGAUGGUUACCUCACCAUUGAGGUCGGGCCUCCACAGUAAGGUCGGGCCAUAUGUCAUUUAACGUAAUCUCUCUCUCCCACAUGAAGUUAAUCCUACUUCGACUAUAAUUCCUCAUGACCCUUAGCCACAUUAUUAACCUAUUAUGGUUCGAUUUAAACUCUAACGGAACACUUUCAAUACAUCACAAACGCUUUGCAUGAUAAGGAUAAAGGUUACAGGUAGUUGAAUCCUUUUACAACUCCACCAUCUACAUCUAUGAAUACAUGAUCAAGGUUCAUU